rnacentral:rRNA from 1 species
CGCGGGUAACACCGCGUGGAGGGCCGGACCCACCAUAGUUGAAAAGUAUGGGGGGAGUGAGCUGUGGAUGGGGGUGAAAGGCCAAUCAAACUCGGAGAUAGCUGGUUCCUCCCCGAAACAUAUUUAGGUAUGGCCUUAGGUCAUGCGUCGCGGGGGUAAAGCACUGGAUGGGCUAGGGGUCACACCAGAUUACCAAACCCAACCAAACUCUGAAUACCGACGACGUCCUAUCCUAGGAGUCAGCCUGAGGGUGAUAACGUCCUCAGACAAAAGGGAAAGAACCCUGACCGACAGCUAAGGUCCCCAAGUUAUGGCUAAGUGGUGAAGGAUGUGGGAGCACAUUGACAACCAGGAGGUUGGCUUAGAAGCAGCCAUCCUUAAAAGAAAGCGUAAUAGCUCACUGGUCAAGUGAACCUGCGCCGAAAAUAUAACGGGGC